AGCGACAGGCCUAACACAUGCAAGUCGAGGGGCAUCAUGGAUGUAGCAAUACAUCGAUGGCGACCGGCGCACGGGUGAGUAACGCGUAUGCAACCUGCCUACUACAGGGGAAUAACCCGGAGAAAUUCGGACUAAUACCGCAUAAUACAGGGGUCCCGCAUGGGAAUAUUUGUUAAAGAUUUAUCGGUAGUAGAUGGGCAUGCGUGCCAUUAGCUAGUUGGUGAGGUCACGGCUCACCAAGGCAACGAUGGCUAGGGGAACUGAGAGGUUUAUCCCCCACACUGGAACUGAGACAUGGACCAGACUCCUACGGGAGGCAGCAGUGAGGAAUAUUGGUCAAUGGGCGAGAGCCUGAACCAGCCAAGUCGCGUGAAGGAUGACUGCCCUAUGGGUUGUAAACUUCUUUUAUAAAGGAAUAAAAUGGAGUAUGUAUACUUUAUUGCAAGUACUUUAUGAAUAAGCAUCGGCUAACUCCGUGCCAGCAGCAGC
rnacentral:rRNA from 1 species